CUGAGAUUAGGAGCACUCUCUUAAAGGAAGUGCUCCUAAUCUCAGCUCGUUACCUGUAUAAAAGACACCUGUCCAUAGAAGCAAUCAGUCAAUCAGAUUCCAAACUCUCCACCAUUGCCAAGACCAAAGUGCUGUCCAAGGAUGUCAGGGACAAGAUUGUAGACCUACACAAGGCUGGAAUGGGCUACAAGACCAUUGCCAAGCAGCUUGGUGAGAAGAUGACAACAGCUGGUGCGAUUAUUCGCAACUGGAAGAAACCUAAAAUAACUGUCAGUCUCCCUCAGUCUGGUGUUCCAUGCAAGAUCUCACCUCGUGGAGUUUCAAUGAUCAUGAGAACGGUUAGGAAUCAACCCAGAACUACAGGGGAGGAUCUUGUUAAUGAGCUCAAGGCAGCUGGGACCAUAGUCGCUAAGAAAACAAUUGGUAAUACACCAUGACGUGAAGGACUAAAAUCUUGCAGCGCCUGCAAGGUCCCCAUCCUCAAAAAAGCACAUGUGCAGGCCCAUCUGAAGUUUGCCAAUGAACAUCUGAAUGAUUCAGAGGAGAACUGUGUGAAAGUGUUGUGGUCAGAUGAGACCAAAAUCAAGCUCUUUGGCAUCAGCUCAACUCACAGUGUUUGGAGGAAGGGGAAUGCUGCCUAUGACCCUAAGAACACCAUCCCCAGUGUCAAACAUGGAGGUGGAAACAUUAUGCUUUGGGGUUGUUUUUCUAAUAUGGGGACAGGACAAUUGCACGGCAUCAAAGGGAUGAUGGACGGGGCCAUGUACCAUCAAAUCUCUGGUGAGAACCUCCUUCACUCAGCCAGGGCAUUGGAAAUGGGUUGAGGAUGGGUAUUCCAGCAUGACAAUGACCCACAACACACAGCCAAGGCCACAAAGGAGUGGCUCAAGAAGAAGCACAUUAAGGUCCCGGAGUGGCCUAGCCAGUGUCCAGACCUAAUCCCAUAGCUGAAGGUUCGAGUUGCCAAGCGUCAACUUCAAAACCUUAAUGACAAAAUCCCUCCUGAGAUGUAUGCAAACCUGGUGGCCAACUACAACAAACCUCUGACCUCUGUGAUUGCCAACAAGGGUUUUGCCACCAAGUACUAAGUCAAAGGGGUCAAAUACUUAUUUUACUCAAUG